GCAUUUUAAAAUCUGAUGAUAUGGCUUUGGUAUUUGGAUGAGAUGGGAGGCCACCUCACCACCAAUAUUUAUUCUUCAGUUUUCUCCCUCUUCUUCCCUUGUACAGUACAUAAUAUGGAUCCAAUUGACUGUGAUGAACUUGUACACGAAAUACUUGGCCGCCUUGCUCCGCAUAUAUGGCUGCAAAUUGAAAAAUAGCUAUUGUAUAGUAAGUAACCUAGAAACCCACUGUUUACAAACAACUUGAGUGAAUAGAAUUUCAGCGUCAAAGAGAAAAGAAGAAGAAGAAGAAGAAACCAGAUUGCUAUUAGAGUGAUCAAGAUCCAAGCACUUUACAAGUACAAUUUCUGUACACCGUCUAUAUCCAACUUGUUCUAGAAACAGGAAAAUUCAAGAAUCGGAGAUUGGGGCAAGAGGGGAAAAAAAUGAGAUGAUGGGAGAAAUCAAGGGUGGGUGUAAUGGUUACAGAAACAAUAGACAAAAAGGGGUGAAAGCGGACCGCGCACAACUAUCAAUUCGUUCAAAUCCUGCUAUGUAUAAGUACUGCAGACGCGACUGCAUGAGUCUUCCAGCUUGGGACUAAAUGGUUCACAAGUACAAUUGAUUGUUAACUUGUGUCUCUACCAUUGCCACAUCCUAUUCAUCAUUGAAAAUGUAAUUAACAUUCCAAAAAAUGGUUUAGAAUCUGAGAUUGUAAAUAGAUAAAAGGGAAGAAAUAAACAAAAGGUUACACAAAUUCAAAGAGA
rnacentral:lncRNA from 1 species